AGACCCAGAGAGAGAGGCAGGGUCUGAUCCGCAGCCCCAGUGGCAGCUGUUGGCCAGUACUUGCCUCUCUCUUUCUCUCCC
rfam:Myotis lucifugus cont2.10420, whole genome shotgun sequence.